UGAACUUUUCUGAUCAGCAGUAAAACAGGAAUGCAUGGACCUAUGUCCUGUGACAUGGGAGAUUUUCCCCAAGUGGUGGUUAAGAAGUCUACUAGCAACUAGGCUUUCAUUUUAUCAAUUUCUCAACCCCAGCAGACGAAGAACGCUUCUAUUUCAAAUCAUGCCUGCAAAAUCCCAGGUCUCAUGGCCCAGCCUGAGGGAUUUCUACAUUCUAGCGUCCUUCUCAAACAAGCCACAGAUCUGCUUCUUGCCCUUUGAAAGCUGAUGGCUCCGCUUCCAAGUACCGUUGCUGGGAGGCAGAUUAUGAAACGGGAUGCGCUGUCAGAAACGCAGCCCAGCCAGACGUUUAACCUGACCUUUCAUCUAACCUCGGUCAUCACAGCCUGGGCAAAGCUGGUUGGUCUUAUGCAUUGAGAGGAUGUCAUCGAAAGAGAUGUCACGAUGUUGAAAAACAGUGCGAGUCUCUUCUGCUUUAAAAAAAAAAUACUUUUUUUGGAGCAGUUUUACUAUUG